GUGAGGAAUAUUGGGCAAUGGGCGCAAGCCUGACCCAGCCAUGCCGCGUGCAGGAUGAAGGCGCUAUGCGUUGUAAACUGCUUUUGUUCGGGAAGAAACCCAUCUACGUGUAGGUGGUUGACGGUACUGAAUGAAUAAGCAUCGGCUAACUCCGUGCCAGCAGCCGCGGUAAUACGGAGGAUGCAAGCGUUAUCCGGAUUCAUUGGGUUUAAAGGGUGCGUAGGCGGAAUAUUAAGUCAGCGAUGAAAUCCUGCAGCUUAACUGUAGAACUGUCAUUGAUACUGGUAUUCUUGAAUGCAGUUGAGGUAGGCGGAAUGUGUAAUGUAGCGGUGAAAUGCUUAGAUAUUACACAGAACACCGAUUGCGAAGGCAGCUUACUAAACUGUGAUUGACGCUGAGGCACGAAAGCGUGGGGAGCAAACAGGAUUAGAUACCCGUGUAGUCC
rnacentral:rRNA from 1 species